UACGGAGGGAGCUAGCGUUGUUCGGAAUUACUGGGCGUAAAGCGCGCGUAGGCGGCCUUGUAAGUUAGAGGUGAAAGCCCGGAGCUCAACUCCGGAACUGCCUUUAAAACUGCAUCGCUUGAAUCCAGGAGAGGUGAGUGGAAUUCCGAGUGUAGAGGUGAAAUUCGUAGAUAUUCGGAAGAACACCAGUGGCGAAGGCGGCUCACUGGAGCUGGUAUUGACGCUGAGGUGCGAAAGCGUGGGGAGCAACAGG
rnacentral:rRNA from 1 species